UACGUAGGUGGCAAGCGUUGUCCGGAAUUAUUGGGCGUAAAGCGCGCGCAGGCGGCCUCUUAAGUCUGAUGUGAAAUCUUGCGGCUCAACCGCAAGCGGCCAUUGGAAACUGGGGGGCUUGAGUACAGGAAGAGGGAGAGUGGAAUUCCAACGUGUAGCGGUGAAAUGCGUAGAUAUGUGGAGGAACACCAGUGGCGAAGGCAGGUCUCUGGGCUGACACUGACGCUCAUGCACGAAAGCGUGGGGAGCAAACAGG
rnacentral:rRNA from 1 species